UAGGGAAUCUUCGGCAAUGGACGGAAGUCUGACCGAGCAACGCCGCGUGAGUGAAGAAGGUUUUCGGAUCGUAAAGCUCUGUUGUUCGAGUAGAACGUUGGUAGGAGUGGAAAAUCUACCAAGUGACGGUAACUAACCAGAAAGGGACGGCUAACUACGUGCCAGCAGCCGCGGUAAUACGUAGGUACCGAGCGUUGUCCGGAUUUAUUGGGCGUAAAGCGAGCGCUGGCGGUUCAUUAAGUCUGAAGUUAAAGGCAGUGGCUUAACCAUUUAACGCUUUAGAAGCUGGAGGACUUGAGUGCAGAAGGGGAGAGUGGAAUUCCAUGUGUAGCGGUGAAAUGCGUAGAUAUAUGGAGGAACACCGGUAGCGAAAGCGGCUCUCUGGUCUGUAACUGACGCUGAGGCUCGAAAGCGUGGGGAGCAAACAGG
rnacentral:rRNA from 1 species